rnacentral:lncRNA from 1 species
ACAGCGGGUCUUCCUGGGCCCAACAACAGAACAAUGUGCAGAGGUGGAAACUGAGGCACGUGGCUUUGUGUGAC